rnacentral:rRNA from 1 species
UACGGGGGGGGCAAGCGUUGUUCGGAAUUACUGGGCGUAAAGGGCUCGUAGGCGGCCAACUAAGUCGGAUGUGAAAUCCCCGGGCUUAACCUGGGAACUGCAUCCGAUACUGGAUGGCUUGAAUCCGGGAGAGGGAUGCAGAAUUCCAGGUGUAGCGGUGAAAUGCGCAGAUAUCUGGAGGAAUACCGGUGGCGAAGGCGGCAUCCUGGACCGGCAUUGACGCUGAUGAGCGAAAGCUAGGGGAGCAAACGGG